GACGAACGCUGGCGGCGUGCCUAAUACAUGCAAGUAGGACGCAGUUGCGAACGGGUGAGUAACGCCUAGGUAACUGCCUAUUAGAGGGGGAUAACUAUUGGCAACGAUAGCUUAUACCGCAUACUAGUAGAUGGCCCUUCGUUGUAUUAGCUAGUAGGUAGGGUAAUGGGCUAACUAGGCGACGAUACAUAGCCGACCUGGAGGGGUGGUCGGCCAAAAUGGGACUGGAGAAAGGGCCAGGAUCCUAAGGGAGGGAGCAGGUGGGGAACUUCGGACAUGGGGGGAAACCUGACCGAGCAAAGGCGCGUGAGUGGAAAAAGGUUUUGGGUCGUAAAGCUCUGUUGUUAAGGAAGCGGUACUUAAAGAGAAAGGGACGGCUAACUACGUGCCAGCAGCCGCGGUAAUAC
rnacentral:rRNA from 1 species